GCAGAGUAGGGUUCCGCGCGUCAAGUGCCGUCCGGACAGGGAGUUGCCGGAUGGACGAAAAGCCGAUACGGCUUGCGGUGCGAAGCCCGCAUCCCGCUGC
rnacentral:ncRNA from 1 species